AUUAUAAUAAUUUUGAUCGGUUCUUGAAGAUGGUCUUGUGCAAACAAUUGUAUUUUCAAGCCUUGAAACUUGUUUAACAACCUUGAAAUCUAUCCUGAACAACUUUGUUUCCUGACUUCAUCUGAACUGGAUCAAAAAGUACUAAGAAGUUUCAAAAGCUCAAGAUUGUCAAAAUCGGUAAGUUAAUAGAUUCUAAAAAUCAAAUGUUCGGGCGAGACUUUUUUAUACCUU